rnacentral:rRNA from 1 species
GACGAACGCUGGCGGCGUGCUUAACACAUGCAAGUCGAACGGAAAGGCCUCUUUCGGGGGGUACUCGAGUGGCGAACGGGUGAGAACACGUGAGUAACCUGCCCUUGACUUUGGGAUAACUUCAGGAAACUGGGGCUAAUACCGGAUAGGAGCUCCUGCUGCAUGGUGGGGGUUGGAAAGUUUCGGCGGUUGGGGAUGGACUCGCGGCUUAUCAGCUUGUUGGUGGGGUAGUGGCUUACCAAGGCUUUGACGGGUAGCCGGCCUGAGAGGGUGACCGGCCACAUUGGGACUGAGAUACGGCCCAGACUCCUACGGGAGGCAGCAGUGGGGAAUAUUGCACAAUGGGUGGAAGCCUGAUGCAGCAACGCCGUGUGCGGGAUGACGGCCUUCGGGUUGUAAACCGCUUUCGCUCAUGACGAAGCUUUGUGUGACGGUAGUGGGUAAAGAAGCACCGGCUAACUACGUG